UUCCUGGUGGUCCAGCAGCUAAGACUCUGCACCCCCAAUGCAGGGGGUCCAGGUUUGAUUCCUGGUCAGGGAA
rnacentral:tRNA from 1 species